UACGUAGGGUGCGAGCGUUGUCCGGAAUUAUUGGGCGUAAAGAGCUUGUAGGCGGUUUGUCGCGUCUGCCGUGAAAGCCCAGGGCUCAACCCUGGAAGCGCAUUGGAUACUACGGAGCUUGAGUCCUGAAGAGGAGAGCGGAAUUCCCGGUGUAGAGGUGAAAUUCGUAGAUAUCGGGAGGAACACCCGUGGCUAAGGCGGCUCUCUAGUACGGUACUGACGCUGAGACGCGAAAGCGUGGGGAGCGAACAGG
rnacentral:rRNA from 1 species